rnacentral:tRNA from 1 species
UUUAAGGGAGACCUGCUUACCUCACCACGAUUAAGAGGAAAUCAAAAAAGUCCCAGUGGUCAGGAAGACAUCCCAAAGGUCGUGCGAUUUAGGAAGCUAAAACUUUCAAACUAUGAGGGUUCGGUACAUGGGCUAUUAGCUCAGGUGGUUAGAGCGCACCCCUGAUAAGGGUGAGGUCCCUGGUUCGAGUCCAGGAUGGCCCACCUACAAAGAGCCGAAAAAAGCUGGUCAUCCAGAGCAAGACUAUAAUAUUAACGAGUGACCCCCUUCAGCAUCUCAACUUGUCCAAUAAACAAGUAAGACUGCUGGAGUAAAGUCCAGUCAGCACCUUGAAAACUGCAUAGCAAUAGUCAAGAAAGCAGGGAAGAGUCAGCACGGUUGAGCCGUGUCAGCUCUUGUCCAAGCAAGAAACCAAUGUGGUCAAGCAAAUAAG